rnacentral:rRNA from 1 species
ACUCAAAUGAAUUGACGGGGACCCGCACAAGCGGUGGAACAUGUGGUUUAAUUCGAGGCAACGCGAAGAACCUUACCAGGAUUCGACAUGCCCUCUAUGGACCCCCGAAAAGGGGUCCUUCACUUCGGGUGGGAGGAGCACAGGUGCUGCAUGGCUGUCGUCAGCUCGUGUCGUGAGAUGUUGGGUUAAGUCCCGCAACGAGCGCAACCCUCGUCCUCUGUUGCUAACAGGUUAAGCUGAGCACUCUGAGGAAACUGCCGGUGAUAAGCCGGAGGAAGGUGGGGAUGACGUCAAGUCCUCAUGGCCCUUACAUCCUGGGCUACACACGUGUUACAAUGGCAGUGACAAUGGGAAGCGACCCCGCGAGGGUGAGCAAAUCCCCAAAAACUGCCUCAGUUCGGAUCGUACUCUGCAACUCGAGUACGUGAAGCUGGAAUCGCUAGUAAUCGUGGAUCAGCACGCCACGGUGAAUACGUUCCCGGGUCUUGUACACACCGCCCGU